AAGACCUUACGCUUUUGGAGCGGCCGAUGUCUGAUUAGCUUGUUGGUGAGGUAAAGGCUUACCAAGGCUUCGAUCAGUAGCUGGUCUGAGAGGACGACCAGCCACACUGGGACUGAGACACGGCCCAGACUCCUACGGGAGGCAGCAGUGGGGAAUUUUGGACAAUGGGGGAAACCCUGAUCCAGCCAUGCCGCGUGGGCGAAGAAGGCCUUCGGGUUGUAAAGCUCUUUCAGCCGGAACGAAACGGUUACGAUUAAUACCUGUAACUACUGACGGUACCGGAAGAAGAAGCACCGGCUAACUACGUGCCAGCAGCCGCGGUAAUACGUAGGGUGCGAGCGUUAAUCGGAAUUACUGGGCGUAAAGCGUGCGCAGGUGGUUUUGUAAGUCAGAUGUGAAAUCCCCGGGCUUAACCUGGGAACU
rnacentral:rRNA from 1 species